rnacentral:tRNA from 1 species
GGGGCUGUAGCUCAGCUUGGGAGAGCGCUUGCAUGGCAUGCAAGAGGUCGUCGGUUCGAUCCCGAUCAGCUCCA